UUGUGUUAAAAUUUGUAUUCAUUGUCUGUACUUUGAAUAUAUUUUUGCACUUUAAAAAGUAAUAUUAAGAAAAAUGAAUCGCCAAAUGUGAUGAUUUCCUUUUUGCACGGACUUUCAAACAAGGUUUACGAUAAUUAUUAAAGGGAAAGGGAAAACUCGUUUUAAUAAUUACCCUAAACUUUACUACACCGGACUUGACUUUACUGAAUGUGUCUUUACGUAGUGCCUUUACAAACCUCCGUUUGACGUUGAUAUAAUGGAAUGUCAAACAUAGUCAGGAGUUACAUGGCCUGUAUAUCAGUAUCAAAUGCAUUCCGUUGAUGCAUAAUGAUAUUAUUCUUUCAUGAAGCGGAUAAUUCUCAAGAAUGUACCUAUAUUUGAUAUGGUUGCAAUGAUAAUCUGAGUUUAUUGCUUUACCAGUUUAGAGAUAAUCUCUCAACAAAAUUUCUUAUGCAUCCGAAAAAACAUGACGUUGACACCUUUUAAUACGAACUCGCUUCAGACCGUGAAUCCGUUAGAUCCUAACUUGGACCUUCAGCCUAGACUUUCUCCUGUUGUAUGCAAGAUUCAAUGCAUUCCUUCAUGGUUAACACAGUUCUCACCAAAGUUUUAGAUUGGAUGCCGUCAGGUAUUUUUCAGUCCAACACAUCAAAUUGGAUGUAGGAUCAAACCUGAGCUACCAAUCGUAUGGAUUCACCUGUCCAAUAAAGGUUAUGGUUAAUUUAACUUAUUAUGCAGAUGCUUACUAAGUUGCAUUAAUCACACUAUAUAACGGCGGAUUUAAGAAGAGUUGCUGUUGAGAUUUGAGAGAACGGAUAUCUCUAUUGUUCUUACUCUUCUAUGAUCCAUCUAUAAGAAAAUUGGUCUAUGUUUGUGCUGAUCAUGAUCAUGAUUUCCAUACGUCGUGGAUAUAUGAGAGAUGCAGAAGUCGUAUUUAACAGUGAUUAACAGUAAUUAAUCUGAGAGGCUACAUACACAAAAAUUUGACUAGAAAGUUUUUUUAAUGUCAGAAUCUGUCAACUGUCUAACUCCUAUGUAUAGGAUAUACGUGUUAAUAUAUUUGCAUCUUUUAAGUUAUGAUGCUAUUAUUAAUGUAAGUGAUAAAAUCACUGCCAAAUUUUUAGUUGAAAAAAUUCUUUGUAAAAAAAAGUAACAUAUAUCU